rnacentral:rRNA from 1 species
UACGGGGGGGGCAAGCGUUGUUCGGAAUUACUGGGCGUAAAGGGCUCGUAGGCGGCCAACUAAGUCGGAUGUGAAAUCCCCAGGCUUAACCUGGGAACUGCAUCCGAUACUGGAUGGCUUGAAUCCGGGAGAGGGAUGCGGAAUUCCAGGUGUAGCGGUGAAAUGCGUAGAUAUCUGGAGGAACACCGGUGGCGAAGGCAGCACUCUGGGACGUGACUGACGCUGAGACGCGAAAGCGUGGGGAGCAAACAGG